rnacentral:lncRNA from 1 species
CCUAAAAAACCUUAACCUAAAAAACUCAAAGCCCUAAACCCUAAAAACCUAGAUAAAACCCUUAACCUAAAACCCUAAACUUAAAAACACUAAGCCUUUAACCGUAAACCCUAACCUAAAAACCUAAGAAACCCUAAGCCUUAAGCCUUAAGAAACCUUAAAUUCUAUAAACCUAAAAUAAACCCUAAAAACCAUUUUAAACCCCUAAGAAAUCCUAAGCUCUAAACUCUAAAUCCUAAAAAUCCAUAAACCCUAAACUUAAAAAACACAAAAUAAACCCUAAGCCCUAUACCCUAAAAAACCCUAAGAAAUACUUAACCUUAAAAAACACAAAAAUCCCUAAACCUAAAAAAACUGUAAGCUC